AGAUCAACCUGGAACAUACGAUACGGGGACGGGAAACACAGAGAUUAUCGCUCCUUAUGUUUUCGUUCAAUCAGGAAUCAGCGCCGCCAUUUUACAAUUUUAGUUCAAAGCGGAGGAAAUGUUCGGUCAGAAAAUCGAUCGGUAUGUUUACUUAAUGGGGUUGAAGUCCCCAGAAAGUAAAUGAAAUAAUUCUGUUUAUCGAAGAUUGAAAACUUUCCAUCAGAUGCUUUCUUCACAAAUUUCUUUUUGCUUGAGAAUACCAGUAAUGAUGAACAAGAUCCUGAGUGUAAGGUCACAAAAGAUACCAUGAAUUUGUCGAUUCAGAUUGAAGGAUUAAAAUAUGUAUUCGUGUCACAGAGAAAAUGAAGUUGGACCUACUUGUGCAUUCAUAUAUCUGAUGAAACAUUUUUUCAAAGCCGCAUGCCUCCAGAUAACCCAAAAUAUUUCAAAGAAAUUACACUUGGAAAAAAACAUACUAAAACUUAAAGAAAAAGUAAACAGAUCAAAGAUUCAAGUGAUAAUUUAUAUCUUAUGUGCAAUUAAUGACUGUAUAUUGCAGUAUUUAUCACCAUAUUUAUACUGCGUUACUAACGCAGUAGGGGCCAUUCAUGCACAUUUUGACUUCUUUUUGGUAAUUUAUGUAGAUUAUAAGUGCC